AAAGGGAGACCUAAUUCGGGUAGGAGACGAAAAAAAAGUAGUCGCUACCAAGAAUCAAUCCCAAAAGGUCGGAGCGAGGCGAAAUUGGCUUUCAAACUAGGUUCUGGGUUCACACAAGACCUGAAUCAGGAACAAGGGCUAUUAGCUCAGGUGGUUAGAGCGCACCCCUGAUAAGGGUGAGGUCCCUGGUUCGAGUCCAGGAUGGCCCACCUGCACAGGUGGCAAAAACAAGAGAAACGAGGAAUCAGCACCUUAUCUUACUUACAUAGUAAGAGAGAAUGCUGGCUCUGAGUAAAGAGUCCAGAGGAACCUUGAAAACUGCAUAGAGCUAGGUGAAAAAGCCAAAAAAGAAGACCGCAAG
rnacentral:tRNA from 1 species